rnacentral:tRNA from 1 species
GCCUUCGUGGUGUAGUGGUCAGCACGCUCGACGCGAAACCGAGAGGUCCGUGGUUCGAUUCCCUGCGAAGGCG